AGGCCUCCACCCUGAAGAAGGAUCCCUUCGAAAACAAAGGAAAAGAUUAUAAACAGAGCACUGCCAGGUGUCCCUGGUCCCUGACAACUCCCAGGCUGCCUUAAGGCAGUUCAAGAGAAAUGUCAUUUUUAAAAUAAGCAAAGAAGAGAGAAAGCUCAACUCCCCAGCUCUGGGGCUUUGAGUGCUGGGCCCGCUCUCAUCCAUCGCACAAAGUGUUCGGCUCCCAGACAUGGAAUUUUACUGAAUUCAUCAACUGUCUCUCAGCUCCACUAGAUCUUCAAGUUACUGCCUCUCUGAACCUUCAUCAGAAAAAUUGUGUCAGUCCCUCCUCUGCCCUGCCCCUGCAGCCGUAUGAGGAAAUCCUGGUGACAUCACCUUGCUCACUUGUUAGGACAAGAACCAGAAAUAAGUACAGAUCCAUGGAAGACCUUUCCUCAGUUUGCUAUUUCCCGACUGUCAGUCCCCUUAUACGGAAGAUAAUUACAUUGUCCUGCAUUUUCCCACACUUCUCUACGGUCCUGAGGUUUUCCUGAGGCUGAGUUCCCUGUUUGCAGCCUGUAACUCAGAUCUACUUAAUGCUACAACAAAGAGAGGUGAAAGCUGCGUCGUGCUGAACAAUCAGAAGAAAGAAAGCCAGGAUAUCGUAUUUAGGAGAAAAAUCAAAGAAAAAUUGUGUAAGUUCUUACAAAGUUUGGAAAUGAUCCUAAUAAAAAACUGCACUGCUUAAAUAUAGAACAAAGACGUGAAAACCUCCUGCCAGCCCUGGAGAGAUCAACUCUCUAAGCUCAUGAAAGCUGCAGUACCCCACGAUCCCAGAGUCAACACAGCGAGAUGCCCAUUUUAUUGUUCCAGAUGUCCUUUUCUGAGAAUAUACAUAUUUUGAUAGAAUAUGUACUAAAUAUUAUCACAAGACUUGAAUUAUAAAACUAAUUGUUUAUUCUUUUUUGUUUCUUGAGAUAAGAGCCUCGGGGGACAGUGGAAGUAAGGACAAUUUUAUUCUGAGGCAGCACCCAACCUACAACACAGUUCUCAGGUGUGGAAGAUCUAAGACAUUUUUAUUGUCUCCCUGAAAAGCUCUCCUGAUCUCCUUUGGCCCCACCCUAUUCACUUCUAUGAUGGCUGCCUGUCCCAUCUGUGAAUCUUGGAAGUUAGGCUGCUCUGCCUGAGAAGCCAACACUAAGUUGUGAUCUGAUUGUCAGCAAGCCGUUUGAGAUAUGUUAUCAGAAACAGUAGCUAUGAAAAAGGAAGGUAGAUCCAGGCGUAGAUGUUCAUAUCUGUAACCCCAGCACUUGGGAGGCGGACAAGGCACAUAGAUGAGCACCUGGAUGGGACAAUGAAGAUUUACAUAAACAAAGAAGCAAAUAUAUACAUAUACAUAUGCAUAUAUAUACAUAUACAUACACACACAUAUAUAUAUACAUAUACAUACACACACAUAUAUAUGCAUAUAUAUAUAUAUAUAUGUAUAUAUAUAUAUAUAUACUUUCAACUGACUCUUCAUCCAAUCCCCAGAGAAGUUUGAAUUCCGGACAACUGGGCAGUGAUGUACUAAAUUGGAAGAAAGGGCCUCUUGGUCCCCUCCACAUGGAGUAGAGAGUAGGAAGGUACCCUAAAGCAAGAAGAUUCUUCAGCAGUGGGCAGUUUCUCCCAAGACAUCUGUGUGUGUAUGUUAGUAGGAACCUGGAGUCACUGGAUCUGGGUAGGUGUUUUUCUUCGUAAUAAAUGGAAAUACAGAACCCAUUCUACUUGCAAACUUUCAAGUGGUUCCUGUAUUACAAGCUACAUACAUAGGACAAUGAGCUAUGAAUGCCUUAAGGAGAUAAGUUAACUAAGUAACAUUAUUUUUAUAGCAUAAUGGUGUGGGAAGGGGGGUUAAAGUCCUUGCCUCCCUAUGCAGAUAUCGGCUAUGUCAUCUCAGAAAAAGGAUAGAGAAAACAAAAUGGGACAAAAGUGGAACUUUCACUGGAAGGGCCUGCAGCAGCAGCAGACAUAUAUUUUCCAGAUGCAUCCCACUGGUCAAAUGUCACCAAAACAAUUUCCAAGCCAGCCUGCCCUCAUCAGUUCUCAGGGCUCUUGAUUACAAAUUUAUGAGAUGCCUUCCCCAGACAGCCCCGGGAAACCUUUGCCCCAGCCAUCCCUUUGGCCCCACAGCAUUUCUCACUGGGAACAUUAGAAGCUUGCCAUCAACCCAAAUAAACAACUCCUCUCAUGAAUAGACUCAAUGAAGGACCCAUAAAUCAUAUCUGUCAAAAACAUCAGUGGCAUUGCAGAAGACAGAAAUCAAUUCAAAAUUCAUCAGCUCACCUGACAAGAGCUUAAUCUCCUAUUGUUUAAUAAGAACGGUGGCACCUUCGGUAGAAUAGAGACCUGCGAGAGCUCAUCUUAGUGUCUGGUGACAGGACUGUUCAAUUUUAUGGCUUAAUCUGGCCUUCAUACCAUUCCCAGUCUGCGGGCAGAACCCCUUGCUCCAGCUUAGGAUCAAGUUGCUGGUGGAAAGAGGACUCCCUCUGAAGCUGCCGUCAUAUUUCAUAGCUGUUUGUGCUAUGGGUGGGUGGUUUGUACUAUUUCAGUUUAAGAGGAUGCAGAGUUUGCCACAGAACUGCUAUACUCUAUGCGUACAGCGAGCUGAGGUUUACACAUAGAUGCACAGUCAUCAAAAACACUCCUGUAGUGCAGAGGUCAGCGGGGCAUGCCCCUAUUCCACAGCCCAUGAAGUAGCAGCUUCUGGCAGAAUGCAUUUUCCUGUAAGGCUGUUCAUUUUAAUCAGAUUCCAAGUGCAUAUUAAUCUUCAGGGUCAGAAUUGAUAAGGGUAUGGAGCUAGGCAAAGACAAGCAGAAGAGACAGGCAAAAUCUGUUUUGACAUUGAACACGUUGUAGCCUCCUGAACACAUGAAAAGGCCAAACCCUUUAUUCCAGUGACAAAGGAGUUACACAAUGUGGCAGACAUUGGCAUGGCCCAGUGAGUCUCCUGAUGUCCUCUCAGGUCAUCUGCACACCCCUCUGUUCCUUCUCUCCCUUCUGCUCCCUAGAGUGGCUAACCUUCGUGACCAUCUCCUUCCUGUGCAGAAGCUCCUGAGAGAACUGCCUUCGGCUCCCAUCAGUAUAGCCCAUCACUGCUUCCAGAUUCCCCACUCUCUGUACCUAAGGACACUUAAUACCACUCACUGACUUUUGUUUGCUUUGCUUUUCAUUUUUUUGUUUUGCCAUUGUAAUCAUUUUUUUACGACAAAAGAACACUUAAUCACUGAUUUUAAGUCUCACUCCACAAGAUUUUCAUACCUGGUACCAUUAUCAGGCCAAUAAACUGUGUCUAGACAGGUCAUGCUCCCUAGAUGAGAACCCAACCUACUAAGUGGGCAUUUGUUAUGACAACUACUAAUGACUUAUCAUUAUUAACUCUCAUUUCUUACCAUAGAAGCUUUGAUUUGCAAUAGACAGUAAUGAACAUAGAGGCCUACAACUAGCCAAGGCAUGAAGAGUUAAAAGAGUGUUUAACUCUAAAUGAGAUAUUUAUAUCAUACCUAUUUCUUCCAAAGCAUAAUAACCAUUGUGAAGAGAGGCUAGAAAGAGUGAAAGGGCCAGAAGGUGGAUGGCUAUGAGGAAGCAGCGUCCUUCAAACCCAACUGGGCAGCUGAACAUAUGAACUCACAAUUGUGACUGUUUGCAUAAGGCUUGGUAACACUCAAGCUGAAUCAAGUGGGAAGAAGCAGAGGGGCUGGGGUGCACAUGAAUCCCAUCCCUAGCUGCAGAGAGCUGGCAAUGGAACUUGUGAGGAGAGCAUAGUCUUAUGUGCACCUGCUGAGUCUACUUACAAACCAGUAAUAAUCAAAGAAAAAGAGGUGUCAGCUAGACCACUUAGAAUACGCAGGAUCUAGUCUUGGAAGCUAAGCAUGGUCAUUCCUGGUUAGUAUGUGGGUGUGAGAAAUCCAAGAAAACAGACAGAAAGAGGAAUCACAUCCUCACACUGAAAGACUAGAAGCUUCGAUUUGAGUAAUGAGUCUUUAUUUUUGUUGUGAUGAGAAGGGUUUAUUUCAGCUUACAACUCUCUGUCACUGAGGAAACUCAUCGUGUCAAGGCAGGAAGACGGGAGGCAGGGACUGAGCAAAGACCAUGCAGGGGUGCUGCUUAUUAUCUUCCUUCCAACCACUAUGCAGCUUGCUUUCCUUUUGAUUUUUUACUUUUCAUUGUUUGAGGUUAUAAUGACAUUCCUUUCUCCCCCUUUCUCCCACAUACCCCUUCUCACUCCCCUUCAGGUUUAUGGCCUCUUCCUUAAUUAUUAUUACUAUUCCUAACUUUAAUGUUACUUUUGUGUCUAUUUUCAGGGCUAACCAUUUAGCAAUGGCUCUUCCUUUUAAACAACACAGAAAACAGAAAAAAAGUAAAGCUUAAAUCUAACUCCUUUACCAUGCCAAUCACAUCAGUUAAUAAAGUUCUUUUGUGUGAUUGGUUUUAAGGUACAGAAGAUCCAAAACAUCCACUCAGACACUCUGAGCUGCACUCCCAGUCCUAUCUUAGUUGUGUUUAUUUUUUCUUUAUAGUAUAGGAUGUACUUCCUCCCUUUUGAUGCUCUGUCUCUAGAUAGCUGUUAUAGUAAAGGACCGCGGAUUUGCUCAUUUAAUGAGAGCCAUCCAGCAUCUCACAGGUCUGUACCUUAGAGUCAGUAUUUCAUUCUUAACAAAGCCCAAACCAAAGCAUGUGUAGUUAGAAUCCUUGUAAGAGUCUCUAUGAAUGAGUCCUCUGCAAGUUAAACAAGAGUUAGCAGAAUUCCAGCCACACUGCAGAACUGAGACACAUGCCUUAGAGCUCUGUUAGCCACUUCAAUGUCCUGCUCAGACUAUUUGGCUAGUUGUGUUUAUUCUUCAUCUUCUUUUUUUUUUCUUCUUUUUUUCUUGGAUAUUUUUUAUUUAUUUACAUUUCAAAUGUUCUCCCCUUUCCCAGUUUCCCAUCCAUAAGCCUCCUAUCCCACCCUCCCUCCCCCCCCCAUCUAUGAGGGUGUUCUCCCAACCCAACCACCCACCCUUUCCAGCCUCCCCACUCUGACAUUCCCCAACACUUGGGGGUUGAGCCUUGGCAGGACCAAGGGCUUCUCCUCCCAUUGGUGUCCAACAAGGCCAUCCUCUGCUGUAUAUGUAGGUGGUCUGUCCAUGUGUACUCUUUGGAUGGUGCUUUGGUACCUGGGAGCUCAGGUUGUUUGGUAUUGUUGUUCUUAUGGGGAUGCAAACCCCUUCAGCUCCUUCAGUCCUUUCCCUAACUCCUCUAAUAGGGACGCUGUUCUCAGUUCAGUGGCUGGCUGCUAGCAUUUGCCUCUGUAUUUGUCAUGCUGUGGCAGAGCCUCUCAGGAGACAGCUAUAUCAGGCUCCUGUCAGCAUGCACUUCUUGGCAUCAGCCAUAUUGUCCGGGUUUGGUGGCUGUAUGUAUAUGGGCUGGAUCGCCAGGGUGGGGCAGUCUCUGAAUGACCAUUCCUUCAGUCUCUGCAUCAAAUUUUGUCUCCGUAUUUCCUCCUAUAAAUAUUUUUGUUCCCCCUUCUAAAAAGGACUGAAGCACUGCACUUUGGUCAUCCUUCUUUUUGAGCUUCAUAUGGUCUGUGGAUUGUAUCUUGGCUACUCUGAGUUUUUGGGCUAAUAUCCAUUUACCGUGUGUGUGUGUGUGUGUGUGUGUGUGUGUGUGUGUGUGUGUGUGAGAGAGAGAGAGAGAGAGAGAGAGAGAGAGAGAGAGAGAGAGAGAGAGAGAGAGAGGCUUACCUCACUCAGGAUGAUAUUUUCUAGUUCCAUCCAUUUGCCAAUGAAUUUCAUGAAGUCAUUGUUGCUAAUAGCUGAGUAGUACUCCAUUGUGUGGGUGUCAGCUCUCUCAUGCUUGUCAUUUCCCUGCCCUGAUCUUAUUCCAAAUUUACAUGGUCUCAACAGAGAAAAGUAUACAUUUUAAAAGACAGUUAAUUCCACUGGACCUAUUCAACUAACCGAGGGUAACUAGCUCUUUUAAAUUCAACUAAGUCAUUAUUUACUUCAGCAGCAAGGUUUUAAAAUGGCAGCACCUAGGUGAAUAUUCAAUUUAGUAAUUAGGAAAUAAGAAUUGUGGGAUUCUUUAUUUUGAAUUCUGCCUAAAAUAUUUAAGGAAAAUAGGUUUGGGGGUCACCUGGUAUUUGUAGAGAGGAACAUGAGAAAUAUUUAGGUAAAAAUUUAUGGGAGUAACAUAAGAUAAACUUAACUCAAGACAACAUUAGCCCACUGUUUCUAGAAAUGCCCAGGAAUUAUUAUAGUGUCAUAAGUAUUCAUUCUAUUUCCAUAAAUGAUCUACUAAAUCAUUAAUUGUGCUCCCAGAAUUCCUUGCUUUUACUAUCUUUGCCAGGCUUGGAUGUAAGGCAAUCUAGUGCUAAAACUCUCAUCCAGUUCAUUGUUUUCUAUAUUCACUCUACUAGACAAGUUUGUAUUAUUAUGAUACAAUACCAAAGGUGGGAUACUCUACAAAGAGAGGAGGUUGAUUUUGGUUUGUGAUUCUGAGUGUUAUCACACUGAAAGAGUUCAAAGUCACAUGAGGCACUAUGUACCUAACAGCAAGACGUGUUUGUGUGCAUCCACACAGUCUCUUUUCCUUACAUAGUGUUGCUGCUUCUAACCUACAAGACUCCCAACCUGAAGCCUUUCUCUAAUCCUGAAGUCCUGUUCUCUAAACAGCAGAGUUGGUUAAGCUCCCAUACUCUUGGAACCUCAGUGAAUAUUCAUUUUCAAUCCAUGAGGCCUUGGAGUCUUUGAAUCUGUACCGAUACUGUAGCAUGUAUCACUUAUCCCUGUAGUCUUAGAUUUUUCAAAACCUACUUUUAAGAAGGGUUAUUAAAUACGUUAACAUCCCUUCUAUCCUUCCACCCACUAGAAGCAGUGGAAAGGAAAGGUUAAUAGAGCAGAGGAGGAUGUGGGCCUGUUUAGAAGUAUUUCUUUGGAGCAAACCCAGUUUGUAUUGCCAGAAUAUAAGCAGUUUAGUUCACAUGAAUCAGCAGCAGCAACUCAAUCCACUUGCAAAUGCCAUUCGCAGAUAAGCAAAGUCUGGUCUCACAAACCUCCUUCACAAAUCAGCAACAGCAGAUUGAUCCAGAAGAAACCGCAAGGCUCUGCCAAUUGUCCUCAGUCCGCAAAAGUGGCAAGAAAUCUCCGAAACAACACCUGAGGCUUUGUGGUGUGUUUCUCUCUUUGAAGUCAUGACAAGUGAUGACCAGCAAGGAAUACCUUGCAGCACCAUCCACUGUCCCCUGGACUAUGCUUAUAUCCUUUCCAAACAUAACAUGUUCUCUCCAGCAUUUACUCCAGCAAAACAUCACAUGCCCUUUUCCCAGGCUGCCUCUAGAAGAACACCACAUGUCUCUUCUUAGCAAAACACCCUCUCAUGAGCCUGCUGCAACCAAAGCAUCCUCUCAUAAGACAGAAAAUCGUCCCAUGACACAACUGAGUUUCCAAAGAAACCACAAAUUUCCACUUCAAAUCCCUGUUAUCAUACUAUAUAUUAUUUAAGCUCUGAGAAUCAUUCAGAAACAACCACAAUACCCCCUAGCACAGCCCUCUCCCAUCUGGCACAGUAUGGCUGGCCAUGCUGUGACUUCCAUGCCAGGCAGCCUUCUAGCUUGCUUAAGGACACUUCACUGAGGUGAAAAUAUUCACUUCUGAAGGUGGCGAUCUCAUUAUAGGACAGCUAUUCCUCAAUGGCUUCUAGAGCUUAAUCUUUAGAUUAGACAAACAUAAUUGUUACCAGGAUAACUACCUGCAGAGGUUUGGAUAAGGACUAUCAAGUUUCUUCUGUCUUACAUUUUCUAGGUUAAUUUUCUAAAUUUGAAGUCAUUUACUAAGAUGAUAUUGCCUGGCCUGGAUCCAUCUUUGAAAUUGGCUACUAAGAUCUAUCCUUUUCUAUCACAGUCCAUGUAGAGUUUUAAUCAACAUGACUUUGGAUGUGAUCUGCAGCGUGAGCUGCCAUUAAACUACAAAUCACUGCCCCACCCCAGGCUAUGUGCCCACUGAGGUUACAAGAAGUCUCUAAUCUCCUUUUCUUAAUAACAUCAUGCCCUAGUUGGUUAUUAAACCUUAUUUGUUCAUCACCCCAAUAGACAUGCAUGUACACAGGCUAAUUAGAGCAUCUAAGGAACAAGGAAGCCACGUCACACAGAUUUCCCAUUUCUUACAAAUUCAUUAGUCUUAGCCAUCCUUUCUGGUUGUUGAUAUAAAUUAAUACUUGAAUUUCUAAGCUGUAGAAGAACCCACAAGGAAACAGUUGACACAGCCAGGCAUCUUGUUCCUGAACUGCAGCUUUCUUCUCAAACUAUUUACUGACACUGCCUAAAUAAUGACUUUACUUAAUUGGAUAUUUUUGCCUAAAGGAAAUAAUAAUUCAAAUAGGGCUAUUUUAAAUAGAUCAGAAAAUCUCCACACAUAAGCUGAAGCUGUUCCUUGUUACCUUUUCUAUUGAAACUUCCUUUGUGAGUUUCCAUUACAAUUCUGCUUUCUAUAGUCUUUAAGGAAAUAAGACACCAAAACUUUCUCUUUCUGCUCAUCCCAAGAACAUUCCAUUUGGGGGGGGGGGGGUUAUCAUUAAACCUACAUUUUUUUUAAAGACUCACGUCCAAAACCCUCAAUGAUUUUCACUCCCUUUGAACUGUUUCCCCUUCUGCCUUCACCAAAGGCACUUUCUUUCUCUUGUUCUUACCAUGAAUCCUGACCUGUCCUCCCUGUUCAAUGACAGCUCUGUUGUCAUCUCCUAGGAGCCCCCUCCUGGCUGUCAGUCAUCAGUACUUUACUUGCUGCCAUGUCACAGGAAAGAGCUGAUGAGCCUCCUUCCAAAGGCAAAACAGCAUCAGCAACAACAACAACAACAACAAAUAAUAAUAAUAAUAAUAAUAAUAAUAAUAAUAAUGGUGAUGAGGAUGAUGAGGAUGAUGAAGAAGAAGAGGAAGAGGAAGAGGAAGAAGAAUAGAGCUGAGGCAUCUCCAGAGCAUGUUAGGCACAAUGACUGGAGAUUGUCCACCUCCAUGAGAUGUACCCAUGACUAUCCUAAGUACAGAACUGAGAGGACACAGUCUUAAUCCUGUCUCUCACCUCAGUGAGACAGCACCUAUGGUUAUCUUAUUCAGGCACAGAGCUGAAAAAAGAAGGACAUAAUGUGACCAUUUAAAGAAACUUAGCUAUGCCACUGUGAGCAGUUAUAUGUGGUCUUGAAAUAGGUAUAUCAUAGAAGCACAUUGUUUAAAUUAAGUAUUCACAUUAAAAAGCAACAUCGAUUAGAAACAUUAUAUGCAUGAACUCAAAAGUGGUUAUGAGAGUAUGCAUAAGACCCACACAAGGUCAAACCAGACAAAGUUCUAGCAUUGGUAGUAAGUGGUUCAUGAAGUCUCAUUCACCCACCCAUAGUUGAGAGGCUAUUGACACUUAAUGCUUACUGGGGAAGGGGAAAUAUGUUUUCUUCGAGAAUUUGGUCCUGACAAAUUAGCCAUAGUCCAGAAAAUGAUUCCACAUCCAAGCACAUAUAGACAGCACUACAUGGCUCAACGGUUGCUGUUGUUCACUUGCUUGCUUGCUUCUUGUAAAGAAUAUGAAGUUGAGGGGAUAAAGUGUGGGGAGAUAGAGAAGGGAAUGGCAGUGAGUGAAGGGAGGUUAGAUUUGAUUAAAACAUUUGAUUAUUAAAUUGUCAAAAAAGAAAGAACAAAAGCAAAACCAUGAGUAGGUUCUCCAUGCUCCAGUAGAUGGCCUCACUCUCAUGCACAUAUGGGCCACUUUCUUCUCAUAACUGAAUAAAUAAAGCUCUUCACAUGGAAGUCGAACAAUGCUAUGCCACACCCCUCAGGGUUUCUCAGCUUCUCCUAGGUACUAGAAAAGGCAGUGCAUUUUCAAGAAAGGGAUAAUCAGUGCCAAUGACUGAGGGAAUCUGAGGGAGGCAGGUUGCUCUCAGAUUCAUACCUUACCAAAGAGAUAACUCUGAACUUUUUCUGAAACCACAGAAUCUUCAUCUUUAUUUUCCACAAUAAGACACUAGUGUUCUAAGAUUUUUAUUCUUUCAAAAUUGUGUCUUUCUUACCAAAUUCCCAAAUCAUUUGAUCGCAGAUGUUGCAUUUACCUUUUAAUUUGAAGUACUGAAAUAUCCAAUUCGUUUUCUCCCUGGUCAGCCCAGUAUAUAGACCAGGGCUAGCAGAUGAGCACAUCAUAUACCAUUCUGGGCUCCUUUGUUGCACACAGAAAUGAAGAGGUGAUCGCAUAUUGGCUUCAAUCUAUAUUGAUCUCAGAGGAAUACACAUAAAGCACAGUUUCCUUUUUAAUAAUGCUCUAAAAUAAACCUUGAAACAUUUACAAUUCUCCUUUAAGGUGGGUUCAGGAAGAAGGGCUCGAUGAAGCUAGUCAAUUUCACCAUGUGAUCUUACUUUAAUUUAAAAAGAGUCACAUACCCUCCCUAAGGCAUGUGAGGAAUUAUUCCACAAGAUGUCUAGUGUUAAAAGAAAACUACUGAUGCUAUUACUCUGUCCAAAGCAGAGAGGUGCCUAUCGAAACCUAUUGAAAACUUCCGUCAGAGCUGAAGGGGCUUGCAACACCAUAAAAACAACAAUACCAAUCAACCAGAGCUCCCAGGGACCAAACCACUAUCCAAAAAGUUCGCACGGCUCCAGCUGCAUAUGUAGCAGAGGAUGACCUUGUUGAUCACCAAUGCCCUUAAACUGGAAGCCACCUAUGCAUCAGUGAACAAGAGAAUGGACACAGAAAUUUACACAGAUAGACCCUGAAAUAUUACACUUCAAAGAGAAAAGACUCAUCAUAAACAUAUGCAAACAUAUGCAAAAAUUUUGCUCACAGUAGCAGAAUGACCAAAACAACUGUUUGUAAGUUAAUAUGUUCUAUAUUAUUGUACUUAUACAAAGGAUCAACGUGAGCUAGCUCAAGUUCGUGCUCUCAGAAGUCAGUGUGUAUUAGAGGAAAUGUUCAAAAAUAUAAAAAUAUUUGAAAGCAUGUAAUACUAUGUUUCUUGAUGUAUGUAGCAGUUACAAGGAUAUAUUAACUUGUGAAAAUGUUCUAAGUUGAAGACUUAGACCAUCAAGGCUUAAGCUUCAACUGUACAAUACAAACAAGAUUCUACUUAUACCAGGUGAAGUUCAAAGUGAGUGCCACUCCUAAGACCUCUGAGAUCCGCCCAGCAUUAGACUCUGUUCAAACCAUAUUUGUGUAGCUCCUGGAAGGCUGCAUGCUUCUCUUCCCCAGUUCAUUACUACUGUUGGUAACUUUAAAUAGGACCAACAUAGCAUAGUCAUAAAACCACUAACUGGAAAAAAGUUUGCCCUGAUUUAAAUGCAUGCUAUGCCACUUCCUAGCUCCGUCCUGAGAGCAAUUUACGAACCAUUCUGUGACUGCUUUCUAUCUGCAAAGUAAGAAGAGUAAUAGAGCUCCUUAUCGAUUCUCCUCAACAGUUGCCUUUAUGCCUAUGUGAACUGUUAGAGGAGAAGUCAUUAUUCUACACUUGUCUGUCAUUCAGACACAUCUUCCCUCACAGUUCAUUCUCCUGAGCUGAAUUAAUUUAUAUGCAUUAGGUUACAAGGAACGCUCUAAAAAAUGUCAUAGACAGGAUAACUUCAACAACAGAAAUGUAUUGACUCUCAAGAAGCACAGAAAUAAUGAGAACAAGGAAUCUUGUGGUGCCCAGUCCCAAGGACACAUCUACAACACAACUCCUGCACUGAAGGCUCAUGACUCAUCGUGGAAGGCAGUCAGGGAUAUUGGAAGAGCCACAGGAACAAGAAACCUGCUGUGAGAUAUGUCUUCAGAAAAACUACGUCCACGAUAUCCCAUCUACCGGGCUAAAUUAGGUCUGAACCAGGAUGCUACCAACAUACAUUCUAACAUAGAAUGGGAAAUUUCACAGGGCCUCCACCUUUAGUUUUCUCAACUACAGGCAACUAAAGGAUGCUGGAUAAAGAGGGAAAAGUCUUCCCCAGGGAAGCUUAAUACAAAUACAAUGUGGUCAUUUUCAAAAUCAUAGAAUACAUACAGAUAAUCUUAUGUAAACUCAGCAGGUUGUAUUUAUAUAUUUGUUAAUAAAGCAGAAGAGGAUAUGAGUUUGAGGUUGAGAAAGGGAGCAACAGAAGGCCCAUGGGAGUGGUUAGAGGGUGGAAAUGGGAGGGGAAAAAUGCUGUGAUCAUAUUUAAAUUAAAAAAGGAAGAAACAGCAAUGAGUCAAGUUCACAGAAUUGCCAGGGAUGGCAUCAUCAAGACCCCUCUCCUUGUCUGGUUCUCUUCCCCUUGACUGUCUAUCUUCCAGUCUCUGUCUUUCACAAACACAUCAGUCAUUUUGACUAGUGUCUACUCCAAUGAGGUCAUUUAACCUUGGUUGUCUUUUUAUAGAUUCUCUUUCCAAGCACAGUAACACUUUGAUGCAUUGGUAGUUACCAUUUAAAUAUAUGAAGUGGGUGAAAAGGGGAACUUCAGCCCAUGAUAGAUACUUAUCUCCCUGUCCCUCUCACAGGACCUGUCAUCUUCCAGAAGAGUGGGUGUGUCUUAUUGUCUGGGCUAUGUAAGCUCCCAGGGAGUUAUCUGCACAUAGGAGAUGCUUAAUAAAUAAGAACUACAAAGGGAAGGAAGUUCAAACAAACAGGAUCGUGGCAGCAAAAGACAUCACUUCUUAAAAGGACCAAUGAUCUAAGGAAGUCAGGAAAGCUUUAUUCAAUUAAGUAAAUGAUCAUAGUUGAAAGCAGAAGUUGAUAGAUGAUGUGCAAUGACCCAGUUGGGGCUGACAUAGAUCUUAUUGUAAGUCUGUAUCACUCACUGCAAAGUGAAGUUUGUCUUCAAUACCAGUCCCUAACCAUGAAUUACACAGCACAUCUUGUUUCUGAGCCUUUUAGGAUAUACAUUCCUUCCUGAGCUUCAAUUUAAUUGCAUUUUAAUAGACAAUUAAUUCACUUACAAAAAUAGCAGUAUAGUUAGGUUCUUUCCUUCCUGUCUCUAUUAUGCCUAUCUGGUGUCAUUCACAUCCAAGUUUUGUUUCAGAAACUUAACAUGUAGUAAAAAGCAGACCCUCUAUCCAGACAAGCUUAGCAUCACACUUGAAACAUCACCCACAGACACAUGAACAGGACCAGUGCGAGACUACAAAUAGUUUUUCUGCUUGGAUGAGUACAUCAGAGGGAACAGACCGUGCAAAUGAGGGCAGUGACCGAGUCAAUCUAGGUGGCUUUUGUCAUAUGCGGGGGACAUACACACUCUCUGUAAUGUGAAACAUCGCAGAAGGAGAAGCUCUGAUAAGCAAUUCCAGGUCAUGCAAAGCAAACCUGACCCUCUAGGGACCCAGCUCUUGAAGGGACCUUAGGUCAAGAUUUGUUUUCCUUAAGCCUGAAAUUAGUACCUUGGUCUGGGAUGAGAAAUGUGUUUGUCAAUCAUCCAAUCCACCCAGAGAGAACUUUGAAACUCAUAUAGUCUAACAGAAUCUUUUCAGUGAUGGAUAAAACAAAAACAAUUUCAAACCAAACCAAAAAGAAAAAAAAUCAAAGAUCCUCUAUGCCUAGAAAAGACAAAUGUUGGUAACCUGACCUCCAUGGCCUUCCUAUUAACACACUUGACAGCCCAGCAUCUGAAUUUAAACUCUAAACUGCCAGCUUCUUUGUCUUAGAUAAUCUCUUGUUUCUUUAUCUUUCUGUAACAUUGCCCUUAGAAAGGUAAGAAAAAGAAACAUUUGAACUACUAAUCAAGUGAAGCAGCAAGGCUCUUAUUAUAUUCUAUAAUGUUUUUCAUCCAGUAUUUAAUAUGAAAACUGUAUUUUCAGAAUUAUAACAUGGUUUGCCAAUAUAUGACUUCCAAAGAGAACUGUUACAAGUCGUUGCUAUGCAAUUUCUUUUAAAUCUGAUGUCAAGAAACUGUAGGCUCACCCCCGA